AUGGCUCAUUAAAUCAGCUAUGGUUUAUUGGAUCGUACCCGUUAAAUGGAUAACUGUAAUAACUCUAGAGCUAAUACAUGCCUCGAUGCCCUGACUCUCCGGUUGCCGUCUCUCGCUAGGCGGUGGAUUGGAGAGGAAGGGUGCACUUAUUAGAUCAGAAGCCAACCUUACUUGGCCCGUGUGGUUGUAAAUCGCCUAACGGCGGUUGCAGCUGUGGGCCAGGCAUGAUGACCUUCUGGUGACUCUGGAUAAUUGUUACAGAUCGCAGUCGGCCUUGAGUCGGCGACGGGUCCUUCAAAUGUCUGCCCUAUCAACUUUCGAUGGUAGGUGACCUGCCUACCAUGGUUAUAACGGGUAACGGGGAAUCAGGGUUCGAUUCCGGAGAGGGAGCCUGAGAAACAGCUACCACUUCCAAGGGAGGCAGCAGGCGCGCAAAUUACCCACUCCCGGCACGGGGAGGUGGUGACGAAAAAUACCGAUGCGGGACUCCUUAAAGAGGCUCCGUAAUCGGAAUGAGUGGACUAUAAAUCCUUUCACGAGGAUCCAUUGGAGGGCAAGUCUGGUGCCAGCAGCCGCGGUAACUCCAGCUCCAAUAGCGUAUAUUAAAGUUGCUGCAGUUAAAAAGCUCGUAGUUGGAUCUCGGUGUCAUUGCUACCUGUCGAUUCAUGUGCAGGUAGUUGCUGUAGGUGUGUAGCUGUGUCGCCUGUCGGCGUAUGCCGGCCACGGGCUCUCCGGUCUGUGGUUGCACGCUGUGCCGGCAGAGUUGGCGCGGCCUUCGCCCUGCGGUCUAUGGCUGCCUGCAUUACAUCGGCGCGGUGGCGGUGUCGCCUUUAAGCCAUGUCUGUAGUGGAAUACCUACAGGUGUGAACGGGUGUCGGGCGAUGCCCCACUCUGUGUGGGGCUUGUCGGCUCGUUCGCAUGCCUCUGGAUGCCCUUCAAAAGGUGUCUUAGGGCGGAUGGCACGUUUACUUUGAACAAAUUUGAGUGCUCAAAUCAGGCCGAUGUUGCCUGAAAAGUUUUGCAUGGAAUAAUGGAAUAGGACUUCGGUUCUAUUUCGUUGGUUUUCGGAUCCGAAGUAAUGAUCAAAAGAGACAGGCGGGGACGUUUGUAUGGCCGCGCUAGAGGUGAAAUUCAUAGACCGUGGCCAGACAAACUAAAGCGAAAGCAUUCGUCAAGCAUGUUUUCAUUGGCCAUGAGCGAAAGUCAGAGGCUCGAAGACGAUCAGAUACCGUCCUAGUUCUGACCAUAAACGAUGCCAACUGGCGAUCCGUGGUGGUAGUCACUUAACCUUCCCCACGGGCAGUCCCCGGGAAACCUUUAAGUCUUUGGGUUCCGGGGGAAGUAUGGUUGCAAAGCUGAAACUUAAAGGAAUUGACGGAAGGGCACCACCAGGAGUGGAGCCUGCGGCUUAAUUUGACUCAACACGGGAAAACUCACCCGGGCCGGACACUAUGAGGAUUGACAGAUUGAUAGCUCUUUCUUGAUUUGGUGGUUGGUGGUGCAUGGCCGUUCUUAGUUGGUGGAGCGAUUUGUCUGGUUAAUUCCGAUAACGAACGAGACUCCAGCCUGCUAAUUAGUGCAUCUGUCCACUGCACUUGCGAUGGUAGCAUUUGGCGAAGCUGCUCCUGUAACAGCCUGCUGCGGGUUUCAGUGGGGGGUGCCGACUCGUGUCGUUCGCCUUUUCCUAUGCUCUGGCCGGUGCUGCCAGUAUCUCCUCAGUGGGAUGUUGGUUGUAUUGGUCUGCGGUAUGGGAGUCUGGUGACGCGAGGUGCGGCGUCUCCUUCGGCUCGGGUAGGCUGGGGUUGCGGCGGGUUCAGUGUUUACCUCCGGGUACGGCGCGGAUGCUCACUUCUUAGAGGGACAAGCGGGAGAAGCCGCACGAAAUAGAGCAAUAACAGGUCUGUGAUGCCCUUAGAUGUCCGGGGCCGCACGCGCGCUACAAUGACGGUGGCAACGAGUCAGACCUUCUGGCCCGAAAGGGUUGGACAAACUGGUCAAUCACCGUCAUGACAGGGAUCGGGGCUUGGAAUUGUUCCCCGUGAACGAGGAAUUCCUAGUAAGUGCAAGUCAUAAGCUUGCGCUGAUUACGUCCCUGCCCUUUGUACACACCGCCCGUCGCUACUACCGAUUGAAUGUUUUAGUAAGGUCAUUGGAUUGGCGCCGCUGGGAUAUCUGCUGAAAGGUGGUCACCCGGCCGGCGUUGAGAAG
rnacentral:rRNA from 1 species